UCUCCCUAACCUAGCUAUUUAGGUGAUUUCCUUAGAGCAGAGUCUGCUCUUGUUUCAUAAUUUUAGAGUUAGGCAGAUUGUAGUUGUUCUUCAAGGAAACUGCAGUAGCUUGGUUAAAGCUUAUGAGCAUGUGAGGAUUUUCUUUGAUUGGUGUUCAUAAGUGUACAAGAUUAAGGAAAACUUAGGGGUUUAAGUUGAUAUGAUAUGGCUACUGAGUUUAGGUAAAAAGACAUAGCCUAUUGUUUCUGUUAUUUCAUUUUUGUGGUAAAGCUCUAAGCUUUCUUGUCCUAAGCAUAAGGUUCUAAUAUGAUGCAGAGGGGAGCUGCUGAGCCUACUGAUCUCAUUUAGGACUUAGCAUGUUAUUUGAGAUUUUCUAAAUUUUGGUGCUUCUAUAUGAUGAUAUAAGCAAAAAGAUAUUUAAACUUGGGAUGGAGAGAAGGUGUUACCUGUUGAGAGGUUGUGAAGAAGGGAGGAUGAACUCUCUUGUUGUUACUUGCUCUCAACUCUCACUUAAGUUUUGCUGAAUUUUCGAAGUGUGUGGGAGGGCAAAUUUGAUGCAUAUGCAGGGGUCUUUAUAGGCAUAGUUGGUGUACUUGUGGGGGCUUUAAUGGGGCUGUUAUACUACUUUGUUCUCAUCUGGCAGCAUAUCCUCUUUAUUAUGAUUCUGCAGCAAGAUAUAAUUUGAAAUUUGGCUCUAUUUGAGUACCUAGUACUUGGUGAUAAAUGGCAUUUGUUUGUUGUGGCAGCUGCAUAGGCACAAUGCAGGUGCCACUAUGAGAAGUGGAGAUUUGAGAGGUUGACUUGCUAUCUUUGGGGAAAGAAACAACUUGGCUGCCACUUAGCUGUCCCGAAACGUGGGCUCGCUGCCCUGGGCCCGACGGGCUGAUCGGAUACGGACCACGGUGGGGGGUGCGACUUGGGCUCGGGAGAAAGAGGCCCAAAGAACUUUUCCUUUGUAUUUUACAUUCUUUCUUCUAGUUUCAUGUUUCAAUUAUGUAAGAUAAAUAGUAAGUUCAGAGGUGCGUACAUAAAUUUUCAUUCGCGA